UGGCGGCUAAGAAGACACUCCGUAACCCAGAGCUAAUCCGGGGCGUGGGUAAGUUCUCACGUUCCAAAAUGUACCACAAAAAGGGUUUAUGGGCAAUCAAGAAGAAAAACGGUGGAAAAUUCCCUCAACACCAGAAAAAACCAAUCUCAGCUCCACCAGCUGAGAAAUCCCCAAAGUUUUACCCAGCUGAUGACGUGAAAAAACCCCUUGUAAACAAACACAAACCAAAACCCACAAAGCUAAGAGCGAGUAUUUCUCCAGGUACAGUCUUGAUUAUCCUUGCUGGUAGAUUUAAGGGGAAGAGAGUUGUGUUCUUGAAGCAGCUUUUAUCUGGGUUGCUUCUUGUUACUGGGCCUUUUAAGCUUAAUGGGGUUCCUUUAAGACGUGUUAAUCAAGCUUAUGUGAUUGGUACUUCAACGAAAGUUGAUGUUAGUGGAGUGAAUGUUGAGAAGAUUGAUGAUAAGUAUUUUGCUAAGGAAGCUGAGAAGAAGCAGAAGAAGGGUGAAGGGGAGUUUUUUGAAGAGAAGAAAGAGGUAAAGUUCAUUUUCUGGUUUAAAUUAACUGAUUUUACUUCAAAGUCUUAAUUUUUAGUAAUUUUCUAGUUUUGUGAAGCCUUUAGAUUAACUCAAAUAACAGACUUCAACAAUGUUGGAAUGGAUUGACUCCUAAUUGUGUGCUAAAGUAUAUGAUGGAUUCGCCUCUGAUAUUAGAGAAGAUCAAAAUGUAGUGCUUGUUUGAAAGCUACAUGUACCAAGAGAGGGUGAAGUUCAGUACCCAAGAUCUUGAUUGCCAAUGUGGCUGUAGCUAAAUGAAUUAUAUUUGAGUGGUUUACUGGCCGGUUGUCGUUCUGCUGUCGACUUAUCUGCUUACCGAACUUCUUACAUUACCUAUACUAGUUGUAGUUAUGGAACAGAUAUGGAUAACCCAUUUAAAAAUGGAUAUGGAGAAUUCACAAAACCGGUCAUCUUAAAUUAGAAGUUAAGAACAUGCAAUAUGAGAUUUUCCUGUCAGAACUUUUUAUUCCUCCUAAAUUGUGACUAGCUAUUGACAUCUAAGAUGUUUAGGGGUACCAUUGCUCGUGCACUUAUAAUACAGACACUGUUAAUUUGGCAACAAAUGAUUGAUCUGUCUCUGAUAUUAGAGAAGAGCAUAAUGUAAUGCUUGACUGAAUGCUACAUGUACCAAGAGAAGGGUGAAGUUCAGUACCCAAGAUCUUGAUUGCCAAUGUGGCUGUAGCUAAAUGAAUUCAAUUUGAGUGGUUUACUGGCCGGUUGUCGUUCUGCUGUCGACUUAUCUGCUUACCGAACUUCUUACAUUUACACUAGUUGUAGUUCAUUUACUCGUAAUGGAAUUAAAUGGAUGGAACAGAUAUGAAGUAUUUACUUUGAAAAAUGGAUAUAUAGAAUUUAAAAAGCUGGUUAUCUUUAAAUUAGAACAUGCAAUAUGGGAUUUCCUUGUGAAAACUGUUUAAACUUCCAAAGUUUUGACUAGCUAUAUUGACAUCUAAGAUGUUAGCAGGGGUGCCAUGGCUCUCGUGCACUUGUAAAAUAAACACGGGGAUACUGUGAAAUUGGCAAUAAAUGAUUGAGCUGCCUCUAAUAUUAGAGUAGAUCAAAUGUAAUACUUGAUUGAAAGCUACAUGUACCAAGAGAUGGGUGAAAUUCAGUAUCCAACAUCUUGAUUGCCAAUGUGGCUGUAGCUAUAUGAAUUCAAUUUGAGUGGUUUACUGGCCGGUUGUCGUUCUACUGUCGAUUCAUCUGCUUACCGAACUUCUUACAUUCCCAACUUGUUGUAAUUCAUUUAUUUGUAAUGUAAUUAAAUGGAUGUAAAGAUAUGUGGAAUUCCCUUGAAGCUGAGUUUAAUGAAGAUUAGGUUAAGAUGGUGUUGAUUGAUUUUGACUAAGAUACUGAUGAUUCUUUUGAUUUGAUCUGUUCUUGCUAAUUCAGGAGAAGAAUGAGCUUCCACAGGAAAAGAAAGAUUCCCAGAAAGCUGUAGAUGCAUCAUUGAUCAAGGCCAUUGAGGCUGUUCCUGAUUUGAAGGGUUAUUUAUCCGCAAGGUUUUCACUCAAGUCAGGCAUGAGACCACAUGAGCUAGUUUUUUAGG
rnacentral:lncRNA from 1 species